rnacentral:lncRNA from 1 species
AUGCAAAUCCGGACGUCAGCGGGCGGGGCCUCGCCGGGCCCAGCUCGGCGUCAGGGGGCGGGCCGCGGCCGGGAUUGGCGCAGCCGGGCCUACCGGAGGCCCCCGGCCUGGGCGGCGAGGGGGGGUGCGGGGGGGGAGAAGGAAGGACGCGGGAGGGGGCCGGAGGAGGAGGGCGCCGGGGAGGUGCAGGGGGAGGGUUCGGCGGCGGGCCGGGGAGAGGGAGGGAGCGGGACCCGGCGGGAGAGGUGUGUCGGCUGGGGGCGCAGCGCGGGUGGGGAGCGUGACAGGGCCGGGAUCUGCACGGCGACCCCUCCCCGCAGCUCGGCGCCUGGGCCUGCCCCUCCGCCUCCCAGGCUCGGUGUGCACCGCCCGGGGACCCCCCGCCGGGGGCCACGGAAGCAUCCACCGCAGUUACCAGUUGCACAGAAUUGCGUCAUGUGCAGACCCGGGUGGGGGGGGGGAGCAGCCGGCAGGGGGCGGAAUCGGGGCCGGGGCAGCUCGCGCCCCCCACCCUGCGUGCCCCGCCCCGCCCCCCCCAGGCCCCGGGCAUUUAGGGAGGCGAGGCGCCGGGCGAAGGAGAGAACGGGGUUCGCGGCAGGCACAGCGGGCAGAGGACAGAGGCGCAGCCAGGCAGGGGCCCUAGCGCUCCAGGGCCUCACCAGAGGGGGCCUCCGCCGACUCCGAGCCGCUCCCCGUGCACCCGUGGCGCUCUCCUUGGUGGGGCAGAGGCGGGAAGUCUGGUUUGCAGCAGCCACCCCUCCCGCCCCCCCCACCCCGCGGCCGAGCGGGACGAGGGGACGACCACAGAGGGGGCGCAGGGGAUGUCCAGAUGUGCUUCGAGGGCCUCGGGGCCUCGGUGGCGUCCCGGGAAGGGCAUCGUCGGAGGAGGCAGCGGGGAGGGCCGCGCAGAGGUGUCGGCGGAGCGGGGGCGCAUCGAGGCCGCGCAAAGGGGAGGUGAAUGCAGUGGCCGGGGAGCCCGGCGCCCGUCCCGACUCUGCCGGUACCCCCCCCCCCCGCCCCCGCCCCGACAGCCGGCCCGCCGAGGCCCUCCCGACGCACAGUGUGAAGUUUAGCACCUCCGGCGGCGGCGAGACGGCGCGUUCGGCGUGCCGCUCCAGCGUCCGGCUGGGGGAGCUGCUGCGCCCCACGCGGCCUCCCGGAGCUCGCGGGGGUCGUGGCGAGGGGGCUGCGGGGCGCGGGAGGGCGCAGGAGGGGCAGGGCGCGUUUGCCCCGGGGCGUGUCGGGGCCCCCGCUCCCGGCCCCUGA